UACGUAGGGUCCGAGCGUUGUCCGGAAUUACUGGGCGUAAAGAGCUCGUAGGUGGUUUGUCGCGUUGUUCGUGAAAACUCACAGCUCAACUGUGGGCGUGCGGGCGAUACGGGCAGACUUGAGUACUGCAGGGGAGACUGGAAUUCCUGGUGUAGCGGUGGAAUGCGCAGAUAUCAGGAGGAGCACCGGUGGCGAAGGCGGGUCUCUGGGCAGUAACUGACGCUGAGGAGCGAAAGCGUGGGGAGCGAACAGG
rnacentral:rRNA from 1 species